rnacentral:misc_RNA from 1 species
AUAAAGUUCACAGUAACAUAAUAAAAUUUAAGCAACUCUAAUAUCAGAUGUGUGACUUAACUUUCAGUAAAGUGAAUAAUAGAUUUCUAAAAGACACAAUGUGAACCUUAAUAAUUAAUUGACAAACAUCUGCACUAUCAGUUUUCACUGCAUGAUCACAAAACAAACCUGUGAAGAAAGCGGACGUCACAACAUUGUUCUUUGAACUGCUUUCAUUAUAUAAGCACAAAAUUAGAAAGUUUAAAGUAAAAACAAAGGCAAGGGAAAGAAAAGGAGCAGAAAAAAAUUCUAAAUUAAAUAGAUAAAAGAAUAAUGGUGAACUGAUAAGCAUGUAUUCUGUACAAUAUAAAAUUAUAGCCGUCACAUACCUACCUACUUUAGUCUUAAGCAGGACAAGGAGGCUUUUAAAAUGCAAUAUCUGGCUACUAACAGUUUAUGCUUUCCAGAAUAUUUUGUCAGUUAUCACUACUGGCACUUUCAUGUUUUCCAAUUAUUUUAGCACUGGAGAUAAAAUUCUACAAGUA